UUUACUUGGUUUUGAGAAACUUGUAUUGCUGUUGUUUUUUGGACAGCGUGUGGUGGAGUAAAGUUCUCAGAGACCCUAGCCCCUACCCCUGCCAGGGCCUGCUUUUUCCUGGACUGGUGUCCUGAUUUCAUCCUCUCCCCAACUUUUACUGUCUCAGGCCUGCGGCUGGGACGGACAUUCUUGCUGCUCUGGCCAGUGAGCCCUGCAGGUCAGAUGGGACUCCUGGCCAACCUGGCGCCACGUGUCUCUGGAGAUGCCCACGAAGGCUUCUUCCAGACUGGCAUCUUCAUCUUGACACUGAAGAUCUUCAUUUAAUCUAUUGACUUUCAUAUUUGCUCCCAUGCCAAAAAGGAGUCAUGGUGUUUCCAAAUGUUUUUAUGCAGCUUCUAAUACUGCUAAGCUUUGGGGAUUUUAUUCCUCAUUCUCUUCUCCCCGAAGGCAUAAGCUCCACCUAUAUCUUGUUUGGGCUUUCGGUGGAGACAGCCCCUAACUUCCUGUUUCUGUCCCUGUGCAGCCUUUCCCAUCUUUCUCUUUUGCCCCUCCUCCCCGUGACUCAGCUGUUACAAGGGCACGUUGGGUUCCACCACGCUGAUCAUUGCUGUUUCCCUCCAGCAGCCUGGGGCUCGCCUGGGGCGCUUGGGGGCUUCAGGGCCUCAGCCGUGGGGACAUCGCUGCAGGCGGACACUUACUGCAGGCGAGAACGAAGGAGCUGGCUGUUUUGCCAAACCUGCAGUCCCCUCGGAGUUCUCUGCGAAGCCCUCCAGAGGCGGCAAAGACAGGUGGUCUUCCCCGAGGAAGCAUAUAUCCCGGGGGGAUAAGAGAAUUCGCAAGGAUGCUAACCGAAGAAAGGUGGGGUGAGGGAGGAACCAGUAACCUGUUUUCUCGCCUCGAUGCUCCUUCUCACAUGCACUCGUAGUACACAACGGCAGGGAGCAGAAAGGACAGGGAAAAACGCACCGUUGUCUUCCUUGCCCAACUACUCAUUUCAGCCAUCUCUCCAAUCCUGCUUCUGGGCCCGCCUUCCCCAGGCACCUCCUUCUCGCCGUGGGUGACGGGUGACGGGUGAGGGGACUCCUGGCGGCUCUCCCUCCCCCAGGCACACGGGGGCAGGUGCAGUGGAUUCUGCACCGCUCUGGCGUCUUCCCUCACUUUCCUGCUGCGCUGCUCUGGUGUCCCUCUCCCAGCUCCUAGUGUCCCGUGCUCCUGUCUGUCCCGUCCCGGACCCUUUAAAUCUGACAGCUCAGCCCCCACACCACACCCUGGGCUCUGUCCUCCAACUUGACCCACCCCACCCUCUUUUGGUGUCCUAGACGUGCUGCCUUCUUGCACUUGCGACCUUUAUUUGGGCCUCUGGUCCCGCUGUGGUUUCUGGUGUGGCUGGAGCGCCCCUCCGGCACGGCGUUGUCAUAGCGACAGGCAUCCCUUUGUAUUGAUGUGGCUUUUCCUCAAGCAAGAAGGGUUUGAUGGAGAGAAUGGCUGAAGGGACAGGUUCUGGAAGGGCACUGUGGAGGCCAAACCCUCUCUCACACCCCUGCUAAGAAGCCCACAGGAGCCUGCGGAAGACCUAAGAUCUGAGCCAUAUUUGUGAAACAAAAACACUGGCUGCAAAACAGGGCAGAAGACGUGCGUGCAAAUGCUCAGAAAAGGCGCUGGAAGAACAUCUGCCAAACCGAUCAUGCUUCCCGCUACCGCCCUUUCUAACAAGUUACUUUGGUGUGAACUUAUUUUUUUACUGUGGACAAUACUUAUGAGAUACUAUACACACCACAACGGCAGGACCUGCCUUCUGGGUUCUCACCAGAGCACGGUGGAACCACUUCACAGCGUUGGAAGUGAGGGUAGAAACAACACUCCCCUCCAGAAUCGACCUUGUUAUGGAGGAACAGCAUGGCUGCUGUGUUUACAGAAAGCCGUUCUGACGGGAGUGUUGGGUGCGGUGCAGGUGAGCUGUGUGACUGUGGAGCCCUGGUCUUAGAGCACUGAGUCUUACUGACCGCUCCCUCCGCCAUCGUGGAAUACGUUUUGGCGCUGGAGACUGAAACCUGUUCAAACAAAAUGACUUCCUCAGUUUGGGCAUUUUCCAUUCUUGCUAAAUGGAAGAAAAACCUUUUCCUUAUAUGGCUGAGAAAGCCUAGCAAAAUACGUCUUGAAGAUCCAGAACUGAGUCACGGCCCAAGUCACUCAGGGAAGUCCUAUACUUUGCACAAGGUACACACGGCAGUGCUGCCCGCGGCGGCCUUUCGCCUCUUCUAACUUGACUUUUCAGGGUCUUGGCAUCUGAGCACUGGUAUUCACUGCCCUUGGAUGCCUGGAGCUCCUCAAGAGGCCAUUGUCUCCCUGUGGGGCAUCUGCUGGACAUUCCUGGAGACACGGCC